rnacentral:ncRNA from 1 species
UUCGCUAGGGGUGCCCUGUGUCGCAGACAGAGGGCUGAGAGAGUCCCUUUGAACCUGAUUGAGAUCAUCCUCGCGCAGGGAAGCUGU